rnacentral:rRNA from 1 species
UACAGAGGGGGCAAGCGUUGUUCGGAAUUACUGGGCGUAAAGGGCGCGUAGGCGGCCUCCUAAGUCAGACGUGAAAUCCCUCGGCUCAACCGGGGAACUGCGUCUGAUACUGAGAGGCUUGAAUCCGGGAGAGGGAUGUGGAAUUCCAGGUGUAGCGGUGAAAUGCGUAGAUAUCUGGAGGAACACCGGUGGCGAAGGCGGCAUCCUGGACCGGUAUUGACGCUGAUGCGCGAAAGCUAGGGUAGCAAACGGG